AGUCUCAACUCAUGGUCCACCAACGCAUCCACACAGGAGAAAAACGCUACAAGUGCCCCGAGUGUGCAAAAGCCUUCAGAAGCAGUUCCCAAGUCGUGAUUCACCAGCGUACCCACAGAGCACAGAAAGCCUACAAAUGCUGUGAGCGUGAGGAGAGCCUCAGGAGCAAUUCUGACCUCAGCUCCCACCAGCACAUCCCCACAGGAGGCAAACUCUAUAUAUGUGAUGAGUGUGGGAAGGGCUACAAGAGGAGUUCCCUGCUGCUCUCCCACCUACACAUCCCCACAGGAGACAAGCACUACAAGUGUCCUGAGUGUGAGAAAGACCAUGCUUGACAGUUUUCAUUUGUAUCCCCAUUCUCAGCGAUGUCCCUCAGCCCAUAAAGAAGAAUCUCCUUUCGACAGUGAACACGUUCAGUGUGCAGUCCUGAGGAGAGGGUCAGGCAGAGGCCAGCGAUGCCUCAUGUGCAGCAGUGUUGCUCUGACAGGAUUUUGUAUCAGAAGGGUCCUCUGGAGAACCAUCGUUUGCCCUGAACAGGAACAACUUGACACUGAGAUCAGGUCGAUCAGCAGUUUCUCCUGACCCAGCACUGACACCCAGUCGUGGUGAUGAUUUUCCCCUUAAAACAACAGGGAAUUUCCCUCUGUGCCCUUUCAGUUUCUGGUCCUCACUUUUGUCUUUUUCUCCCCUCUCUGCACCCAUAUGGCCACACCUCCUCUGAGCAAGCGCAGUUGUUCUUGAUCUGGCUGGAAUGGAGUUCAUAGGAUGCCUGCCAGGCUCAGCACUCAGCCUGUCCAGGGGACUGUGGGAGAAGUGUGUGGGUAAGGAGCCCCUCAGGCUGGGCGGGAGCCUUCUGCAGCCAAAGGCUGCUGCACAGAGUAGGGAAUUCUCUGUUACACAGGACCCCAGUGUAUUUUUGGUGGGGCUUUGCACCAUGAGAGUCAUAUGCAGGGGUUAACUGCUUCAAGUCUGCCUUUCCUGAGUCUCUCCUUUCUGUUUUCUUUGCCUCAGAAGUAGUGAAAAUAGAGGCUGUAACAUCCAAGAAAACACUGAAAAUCCUAAGCCUUACGCUCCCCCAGCGAGUUCCUUUCUGCCCCUCUGCCAAUCGAAAGCACUAUCAUUGCAUGUCCAGUGUCACCAGGGCCUGUGCCACAUGGCCCUUAGCACCUGACCACAUUGAAAUAGCCUUGGGCAGUGCCCUGCUGCCAAGAGGGGUCUGCAAGGCAGAGCUGAGUCUACAGCAGCUGUGAGUCUACAGCAGGGAGGGCUUGUGGGGACGGAGAUAGAGACAGGGACAAGUGCAGGCAGCAGAGACAUAAUCAGGGAGAGGGAGCUACCCCUGGAAAUACCAUGGGGCUGAGGAUAUGGGCACCUCCAUGCCAUAACUGCAGUGCAUAUCUUUCCCCCAAAGCAACCCUGUGGUCUGCUGUCCAUCUUCAGCAUAGAUCUCCGUCAACAUCUUUGGAAUCUUACAAUGUGCCUUUGAAUUCAUCAGCAUUCAGCUGCAGUUCAGGCAGUGAUAUUGCAGAUUCCGUCACGCAGAUACGUCAAUGGAGGAAAAGCAUCCUAUGUCAGUUUGGGCUCUGUUAAAUGUUGUGUUUGGGAUGAGGAGUCGGCUGAUUCAUGCCAGGACAGCACAUUUUCAGGGCACUUGACACUCUCCCUGGUGUGCUGUACCAUGCUGUAGGCCGCCCUGCACAAGGACACAGCUCUGCUGUAAAAGCUCUGCAAUGUAGCAUCCUGAUGGAGAAGACGUCUAAGUGCUAAUGAGAUGGAAAUGCUGCUGGAUAGCUGUAUGUGGGCAACUGCAGUGACACUUCUGUAUAUCUGGCAAGAAAAGGGGCACUGAGAUCUUCUUCAGGUCAUUGUGUCCAGAGACGACAAAGGUCCAACAGCAGCUGCAUCACAGAGUUCUCCCUCCUGACACUUGCAGACACACAAGAGUUGCAGCUCCUGCACUUCCAGCUCUUCCUGGGCAUCUGCCUGGCUGCCCUCCUGGACUACAGCCUCUUCAUCACAGCUGUGGCCUGUGACCACCACCUGGACUUCUCCUCAUCCUGGGCUGCAUCUCCUCCACUUGCCCUGAAGCCAUGGCCAAUGCUCUCUUGGGCACCAGGAACAUUUCUGGUGUUUCUGAUGCAGGAUGUGUUGCCCAGGUCUUUUUCAUUUUCUUCUUGCUUACAGCACAGUACUCCCUUCUCAUUGUCAUGUCAUAUGAAUGCUGUGGCCAUCUACAAGCCUCCACACUGUGGGACUUUCCUGAGCAGCAGAGCUUGUGGCAAUCUUCUGUGAUGUGCUGGAGAUGUUCUCUGAGUGUGGACGACACAAAGCCUCCCUCACCUGGCUGUGGUUCAUCGGCGCUGCUGUGUUUGCCUACAUUAAGCCCUCCUCCAUCUCUAUCUCUGUACCUGGUGGUGGUAGUUCUGUGCUCAGUGGUGCCUCUAACAAUGAAGCCCCUCACAGACAGCAUGAGGAAACAGGAGCUCAAAGGUGCUCUUCAGAAUGUGAUUUUACAGAUGUUUCUUAAUAGAGAUAAAUUUAUCCUCUCCCUCCACAAAUGAUUUAGUACUUAUCCCCUGGCAGACCUCAUCCUUAUUUCAUCCCUUUAUUACAUUAGUUAUUGCCUAUCUUUAUUGCCAUUAGCAUAUACUAUGUUAUUAGAGAAAUGUUUGCAUUCAUUCUGCUUCUACUGAGGAAGCUUCUACUCUGCUAACUCCUGAAGCUCUGACAAACUCUGGGUCGGUGCUCUUAUCAUCUGCUUUAUUAAAUCGGAUCCCCACAAUGUGCUGCCUGAAGACUUGGCUCUCCUUUACAGAGCUGGUACCAAGAACAGGGCUGAGCUGCUGCACCACAGGAAGUUUGUUGCUCCAAGGAUUUGGAAGAGAAAAAGCUCAUCACAGUACUGUGUGCUGUGAGACACUGAAGGUAGGAUUUAGGAGUAAUCUGUUGCUGUCCAAUAAUAGCAGAGAUGGUGAAUGGUCACUAAGGUACAUCCUCGUGGCAGUCCCACGUGUGGCAGGGCAGAGGAUAUCCUCCAGGGAAGGAAUAUGGAGUUGUCUGGAGCUUCCAGGAGUUCUCCAUGGGUAUUGUCUGCCAAGGGUGGGCAGUGACUGGAAGUCCACAAAGUGAGAGAUCAGUCCAGGUGGUUUCACUCAUAUUAAGGUAUCCACAGGGCAAGAAGGACUCUCAUUCCUUUGGGAUUCAUAGAGUGGAGAGCGUUUACUGUCAUUCCCAGGGAAGGAGACCUCCAGCUGCAGUCAGAAAUAUGCCUGGAAACUUGCAUUAUCCCUAGAAAGAUUCCCUACCCUUUUAAAGCACUUGUAAUGACCGUCAAACCCUGUGAAGGAGAUUAGUAUUUGUGGUUGCAAUCCAGUUGGGUAUACUUCUCAUGCUGUGCAGCACAGCUAGCAUGGAGUAACCUCAUGAUCACAGCUGCCUGCAGGAGUGUUGAUUUCAUUUAGCUGAAUAUGAAGUUGGACUGUCCAGGAAGGCAAGAUUUCAGUGGGUCUAUCUUGGAAGAAACUUGCCUGUCUGACAUGAAGGGACUCCAGCAUGGCCUGGCAGGAGAUUGUCAUGGAUGAACAAGGACCCCUGAAUGAGGAUUUAAAACAGCAGAAGGAAGUGCAGAGUGUGCAGAAAGGGAACAGUCUGCCCUGGAAACAGAUGGAGACUUGGCCUGUUGGUGCAGGAAUGGAGCCACUAAUGCCAACGCUGAGCUGCGAGGGAACUAUCCAGAGAUGGGCAGGGCAGCCAGAAGGACUUGUUGAAAUACUUUGUCAGCACAAGGAAGACAACAAAGGGGGAAAAAAAAAAGUCCCAAUACAAAGACAGUAGAAAUACAGAAACUCCUCAGAUGAGUUUCCCCCUUGAGAGUGCUGGUGGGAAAGGUGCUUUGUUAAGUGACUGGAGUACAUUUACCUAUAACUGUAUGUACCUACAUAUAUAUAUGUAUGCUGCUGUGGAAAGGUAAGGUGUGAUGAUAUAAGGGAAAAUUUGGCUAUCCAGAAAUAGAGCAUUUCAUGGAA